rnacentral:rRNA from 1 species
GAUGAACGCUGGCGGCGUGCUUAACACAUGCAAGUCGAACGGUGAACACGGAGCUUGCUCUGUGGGAUCAGUGGCGAACGGGUGAGUAACACGUGAGCAACCUGCCCCUGACUCUGGGAUAAGCGCUGGAAACGGCGCCUAAUACUGGAUAUGUGACGUGACCGCAUGGUCUGCGUUUGGAAAGAUUUUUCGGCUGGGGAUGGGCUCGCGGCCUAUCAGCUUGUUGGUGAGGUAAUGGCUCACCAAGGCGUCGACGGGUAGCCGGCCUGAGAGGGUGACCGGCCACACUGGGACUGAGACACGGCCCAGACUCCUACGGGAGGCAGCAGUGGGGAAUAUUGCACAAUGGGCGCAAGCCUGAUGCAGCAGCGCCGCGUGAGGGAUGACGGCCUUCGGGUUGUAAACCUCUUUUAGCAGGGAAGAAGCGAAAGUGACGGUACCUGCAGAAAAAGCGCCGGCUAACUACGUG